CGAAUAGCCGUGUUUGGGACCUGGGCUCGGGCUUCUUGCGUCCCCGCUAAGAACAUGUCACGGGGCCGAAUCGUCCGUAUUCUCUCAGCUUCAAGCUCCUCUACUUUUCAACCAGGUCACUAGCCCUUGACUCCUCUUAUCAAACUUCCGGAACUGCCACCCCACCAGUGACUCCACAGGCACCAGGGCAUGCAACAGGGCUGGGACAGGAAGGCUCUCUUCUUCACCUCAAGCCUGCUGGGCUAACACUUGCGAUUUUUACUAGAGUUAACUUUGUAAUGUAUGUCUCUGACUCUAGAAUUUCAAGAGAAGUUCCACUUAGUGACUCCUAAGUGGAAGUUCUAAGAUGGCUUCCCAGUGAGGUGAUGAAGAGGUUUGAGCUUUAGAGUGCGGUUGCAAAGCUCUUCUCUGACCUGAACAAUGGCUGUAGCUGUGGACCAACAAAUCCAGACUCCUUCAGUACAAGAUCUCCAAAUAGUUAAACUGGAAGAAGAUUCCCACUGGGAGCAGGAAAUUUCCCUUCAAGGGAAUUACCCUGGACCAGAGACAUCCUGCCAGAGCUUUUGGCAUUUCCGUUACCAAGAAGCAUCACGACCCCGAGAGGCCCUCCUCCAGCUCCAGAAGCUCUGUUGUCAGUGGCUAAGGCCAGAGAAGUGUACAAAAGAGCAGAUCCUGGAGUUGCUGGUCCUAGAACAGUUCCCGACUGUCCUUCUCCAGGAGAUCCAGAUCUGGGUCAGACAGCAGCAUCCGGAGAGUGGAGAGGAGGCAGUGGCCCUGGUGGAAGACUUGCAGAAAGAACCUGGAAGACAGAGGCUGGAGGGGCCGGACAAAAGCCAUGGCUGCUUGUUAUCCGGUCAAUGGAACGGGUUAUGUACGUCAUGUUGAUAAUCCAAAUGGAGACGGAAGACGUGUGAAAUGUAUUACAUUACGUUAAAGAACGGGAUGCCAAGCCCUGCCUGAUGUGGCUCUGGGAAUUCCUGCAGAGAAGAGCAGGGGUGGCCAGGAGAUAGUGAGCAGCUCCCAGCAGCAGGGAGGCCCAGUAACUUUACAAUUUAGGCUCCAAAAUUUCAUCAGCCUGCAAAAGGUUGCCCAAAUCUCCUUACCCAUAUGAGGCCAGUGCCAUGGCUGUGGUAAUGAGGGAUUGCAUUAAAAUUAUUCUUUUCUUUGACCCUGAAAUCAUCAGAUUCUACUGAUCUGCUUGUUUGCCUUAAAGAUACUGGUUACUUCAUUCUGUGUCGGGAUCUUGCUCACAUGGCAUGCAGUACUGUGUAGUGGAGGAAAAAAAACAAAAACCAAAAGCUUCAGAGUCCAACAGCCUUGAGUUGAAUUCCCAGCCAUACCCUGGACUUGCUGUGUAACUCUGGGCAAGUCUGAGAAGCUUCUGGCUCAGUGCAUAAUGUCAGCUUGUUUCUUUUCUGUCUCCUCCUGCCCGCUUGAUUGCAUUUAAAAGCCAAAAUAAUCACUGUUUCAUUUCUUCUGUUGUGUCACUUGCCCUGACUCAGGCAUUAGAGAGGCAUUUUGUUCUGAGGCCAUGUGUUUUGAGAAGGGGUGUUGUUUCCUCAGGAGCUAGUGACACCUGGUGAUUCGGCUGUGUAUAUCUCCUAGGAGGCAUGGAGGGAUCCAGAACCUGGACUGAAGAACCACCUAGAAAUAACUCAGCAGAAUUCUGAAAAUGAGGUCACGCUGGAUUUUCCAAUCCAUAGGCCCAAAGUGAACUCCCACGUGGAGUAGGAUGAAAACCCACAGCAUCUAGAUCUUCAAAUUCUGGAGAAAAAGAGAGUGUGAAAGACUGCUCAGUGGCUGGGGUGAGAGUCAAGUCUGGCCAGGUGCUAAUCUGGAGAAAAGCCAAGACCUGGAGCGAGCUGGAGUGGCAGGCCCUGGAGGAUGAGAAGGUGGCAGGAGUGCACUGGGGAUACAAAGAAACCAAGAUUUUUCUGGGAAUUCUCAGAGGCCUGGAUCCACGAAAAACUCCGCACCUGCCAUCGAAACCACCAGGUGUACCGGAUUAUGGCUGAGCAGCUGUGAGAACAUGGCUUCCUGUGGACCCUGGAGCAAUGUUGCUAUCGGUUCAAAAACCUCCUGACCGACUACUGCAAAGCCAGGAGCACCUACACACCAGGCACCAGUGUCUUCUAUGAUGAGAUGGAUGCCCUGUUGAGUCUUGGGGCACUUUCUAACACCUUUGAUGCCUUAGAGGUGGUAGGAGGCCUUCUUUGGGAUUGAGAGGAUUCCAAAGGGAACCAGGGCAUAGCACUAGAAGAUGUGGCGGGAUGGUAAUGAAAUAGUGGAGGAGUCUCAAGAGGAAUCCUGGAGGCUUGGUCCCCAGGCCUUGAGGUGGAAUCCCAGUGGCAACUCUCCCCCACAAUGGACCUCAGAGCAGUGGGAGCGACGCAGUCCUGUGGGAAGCAUUCAGGCUCAGAAUCAGGAGAUGUGAUUAUUGUCCUGGCUCUGUUAUGACUAAUUUGGGUCUGGAAUGGCCUCAUCGGGGGAAAAAUUGGUGACAACUUUAAGAAAUACUGUUUAUAUCCCGUCCUCAAAUAUUGCUUGACUCAACCCUCUACUGAACCAGUAGUCCAGGGUGGCUCACAAAGACCACUUUGAGGCUCUUGCUCUGCUCUUUAGCCAAGGAGUCUCCCUUCCUGCCUUCAGUAACAACAUUACAGGAAGAGAGGAGAGAAAGGUAGGAGUUAAAGAUCCAGUCAUUUGUUUCCAUCUAAAGUGCCCUAUAAGCCGGGCAUGGUGGCGCAAGCCUGUAGUCCCAGCUACUCGGGAGGCUGGGGCAGGAGAAUCACUUGAGCCCAGGAGUUGGAGGCCGCAGUGAGCUGUGAUCAUGCCACUGCAUUCCAGCCUGGGCGACAGAGUGAGACCCAGA
rnacentral:lncRNA from 1 species